UAAUACGGAGGGUGCAAGCGUUGUCCGGAUUUAUUGGGUUUAAAGGGUGCGUAGGCGGCUGAUUAAGUCAGUGGUGAAAGCCGAUAGCUUAACUAUCGAACUGCCAUUGAUACUGGUUAGCUUGAGUACAAAUGAGGUAGGCGGAAUUUAUGGCGUAGCGGUGAAAUGCAUAGAUACCAUAAAGAACUCCGAUAGCGAAGGCAGCUUACUAAAUUGUAACUGACGCUGAGGCACGAAAGCAUGGGGAUCAAACAGGAUUAGAUACCCUGGUAGUCCAUGCUGUAAACGAUGAUAACUCGAUGUUAGCGAUAUACCGUUAGCGUCCAAGCGAAAGCGUUAAGUUAUCCACCUGGGGAGUACGCUCGCAAGAGUG
rnacentral:rRNA from 1 species